AUUGAACGCUGGCGGCAUGCCUUACACAUGCAAGUCGAACGGCAGCACGGUUGCUUGCACCUGGUGGCGAGUGGCGAACGGGUGUGUAAUACAUCGGAACAUGUCCUGUAGUGGGGGAUAGCCCGGCGAAAGCCGGAUUAAUACCGCAUACGAUCUACGGAUGAAAGCGGGGGACCUUCGGGCCUCGCGCUAUAGGGUUGGCCGAUGGCUGAUUAGCUAGUUGGUGGGGUAAAGGCCUACCAAGGCGACGAUCAGUAGCUGGUCUGAGAGGACGACCAGCCACACUGGGACUGAGACACGGCCCAGACUCCUACGGGAGGCAGCAGUGGGGAAUUUUGGACAAUGGGCGAAAGCCUGAUCCAGCAAUGCCGCGUGUGUGAAGAAGGCCUUCGGGUUGUAAAGCACUUUUGUCCGGAAAGAAAUCCUUGGCCCUAAUACGGUCGGGGGAUGACGGUACCGGAAGAAUAAGCACCGGCUAACUACGUG
rnacentral:rRNA from 1 species